UUAAUGUGUGGCCAGGAUUGUCAUCCCUAGUCGUUUAAAAAGUUAGACUGAUCUCUGAAGAUAGUGUACCAAUCAGUUAAUAUACCCACAGCAAGAACCUCAAGAAACCCUUUUCUUUUUCUUUGCGUAUGUCAGAUAUGCAUGUAAGGGGACACCUAGGCGAGGCAUCGAAAGCGUGGGAAGAGAGAACCUUCAAUGUAGCUGUAAACUGAACUGUUUUUUAGAGUGUUAGGUUUAUAAAUAGCAUUUGGUUAAAUAGAUUUUCACGUGGCUCCUUCGCUUGCUUCUUUGGCUACCCAGUGGCAUACGUAACUGCUUGCAGCUGCUGCUGUUUUACAGGAUAGCACUUGAAAUCUCAGGAAAUGGAAACUUGAAUGCUUAACGCCCCUGUUCAAAGUCCUGGUUACUUUCAGAAAUAUAAGCCUCCAAGAGAAAGGAGGAAGUCAUAUCUCCCAAGUCUGGAACUGUAACAUAUCUUCUGCAGAAGUGUAUGUGUUCUGUGGAAAAUGUUACUCCAGUAAGCUCAUUUGAAGGGGGGUGAUCGUCCCUGUUACUGAACAAGAGAUGAUAUCAACACUAUAUUAUCAUCUUUAUCCACAUGUAAGUGUGCUGGUGGUAAAAGUCUUCAUUUUUUUUUCCCCUAUUCUCCUUCACUUCUAGUAAAAAUAAAUAUGGUCUUCCAUCCUAUCAGCUGGAAUGAUAUUUGAAAAUUUCUUAAAACCUUUGGAAGGUAUGUUGUUCUUUAAUGACAUGUAAAAAUCUCUUGGUCAGCAUUCUCUGGAGUGGCUCAAAUGCACAGAGGUGUGCUAAGUCCAAAUUCACACUUGACCAAUUGCUCAUUAAGUGCUUUUCUUUUUUGGAGUUAAGACCCUGUGAGACAUGCAAAAAACCUGUAUUCUUUUCUACUUUAAUGGAUAUGAGCUGAGUUGUUGUAGUCAGUAUCUUUCUCAGGAGCAAAUUUUUGGUCCUGGCAUACUUAAUGCAUAUAGGAGAAAUGGGAAAGUACACACUAUUGAUCUAAUGUGAAAGUAUUUGUUUUAUUUGUUUGUUUUUCCAGUUGUUUCAGAUGUUGUCUACAUUCUCAGUCCUAUUUCUCAGUAAAGCAUGCGUAACCUGUUACUUCCUCUUUUCCAAGAGGUUAAGUGGGAAGGGCUAUCACUCGGUAUUAACAAGUUAGUAAUCAACAAAAAAAAUAUGGUGAUAUGGUUUGGAAUGAUCCAGUACCCAAAACUGUCAGUGUAUUUACUAAUGUUUGGUUCCAUUCAGAGCAGGCUGAAAAAACAUGUUAAGCUUCUCAGUAUUAUGUUGGAGGUGACUUCCUAAUUAAAAUAGAUUAGCAUGUGCUCUUUCAUCAGUCAAAAUGGUUUCUCAAUUUACAUACUUCAAAAAAAUCUGUCUAGUAGUAGAAGAUGCUGACUGUAGUCAGACGCUUGUCAUAAAGACAGUUUAUUUAAGUCAUAGACCAUGUUGGUCUACGUAAACAGUUUGUAAUGUUUAUGUAGUAUAUGAAAAUCAUACAGAUUUACAUAGAUAAUUCUGUAAAAUGGGAAUUAUUUGCUUGUGAGGAAGCUGACAGCAAGUAGUAGAACAUGUUCGCAAUGUUGAUAUUGCAGAACAAAUUGCCUUGU